rnacentral:tRNA from 1 species
GGGGCUGUAGCUCAGUGGUAGAGCACCUGUCCAGGACAUAGAAGGGUUGGAGUUCAAACUCCAGUACCA